ACCAGAGCAAUUUUUCCCUUUUCUCUUUCUCUCCUUUUAGCCCUCCAGGACUGAAAGAAAGGUUGGCUUUUUGGCCUCAUAUCUACAUGACAGAUUCUGCCAGAAAAACUAAAGUAGUAAAAUCCUAAAAUGGAAAUAUCCUUGACUAUGUACCAACUAGGUUAGAGCAGCUCACUAUCUUAUGCACAAACAAGUCAAUAUCCUCAAUAAGAUAAUAUAUCCAAUUAAAAAAAGGGUUAUGCAUCUGAGAGAGGCUGUGCAGAAUUAUCACAGGAGAGCAAAACUCAAUUUGAACUUGACAGAUUAUGAAGUUUCUCUAAACAUGUGAUAAUUCUUACAAAAAACACAGUGCUUAUACUAUAAUUCAUUCUUGGAAUGCAAGAUGAAUUGAUGAUUCAUGUAUUUUCUCUCUCAACACAUGAAUCAUCAGUCUGUUUUGAGAUUUCAGCUUUGUUAAAAUCAUGAGUUUGGGGAAGUCCAAAUCCAGAAGUCCAAAUCAAGACACAGAGAGGGGUUUGAAGCAAAAGCAGAGAUCUUUAUUAUUUUUGGUCAAAAGGAUGCUAAUGGAGACAGGCUCUCAAAGGACUGACAUAGCCCAACUGUGAAGACAUGAACACAUACAUUUGACAGAAAGAAAAAGCAGUACAGAACAAUUGAAAAUUGCUGAGCUUGAUUCCCAUUGGUUCUGGAAGGUGCCGACCAGGAUCCGCAGCCUUAUUGGAGGAGGCGCAAGUCUGCUUUUGCCUCUGAGCUAACCAAAGGCAUCAAGAGCAGGUUUUGGGUGCACUGGGAUCUAGAUGAAGUACAUUAUUGGAUGAUCCUGGUCUGCAACUGUCUGCAGAUUAUACAUGUUGCAGAAGAAAUCUCUCUAUCAUGCGUCCUCAUGAACAAGGUUGGCAAAGAGUGAUGGGGACAAGUGUUCCAAAGGCUCAAGACCAGGCUGCAACCAGUGGGGAAUCUGUUGCAGAAGCUGAUGAUCUUCCUUCUCCUUCCAGUGGAAUCAUAACUGCCGCAACCCUACCAGGUGAGGUAUUGCAGCAAACAUGUGGGGCGGGGGGCUCACACACUAUGGUCAUAGCCCUAUUUUACUCAGCAACAUCAAGGAAAGCAACAAGAGUUAGGGCCUGAUACUAUUUCAACAUACUUUUAGCAGACUCUUCAUGGUCUGUAUCCUCCUUACUAGCAAGCUCCAUCUAACGCUCUAGGGUGCUAGGUCUGGGGGUAGUAAAAUCAUUAUUUGUUGGAGAGGCUUAUAACCAAGCCUGGGGGUGGGAGGCAGCUGCUUUGGGUGAACAUCUUGCCCAGUGCAUGGCUGAAAAAAUUACUCUGUAGAUCUCUUCUUUCUUCUAUUUUGUGCGCUGGAUAAGAAAGAAAAAUAGUAUUUAGAUGAAAAGGGAAAAAAAUUAAAAAGAGGAAAGUUGACAUGAAUUGGUCUAAUUGAUUUAUGCAGUGGUGUGGUAGCUAAAGCCCAUGUGCACAAAGCUUUAAUACCUU
rnacentral:lncRNA from 11 species